AGCGUACACGGUGGAUGCCCUGGCAGUCAGAGGCGAUGAAGGACGUGCUAAUCUGCGAUAAGCGUCGGUAAGGUGAUAUGAACCGUUAUAACCGGCGAUUUCCGAAUGGGGAAACCCAGUGUGWUUCGWCACACUAUCAUUAACUGAAUCCAUAGGUUAAUGAGGCGAACCGGGGGAACUGAAACAUCUAAGUACCCCGAGGAAAAGAAAUCAACCGAGAUUCCCCCAGUAGCGGCGAGCGAACGGGGAGSAGCCCAGAGCCUGAAUCAGUGUGUGUGUUAGUGGAAGCGUCUGGAAAGGCGCGCGAUACAGGGUGACAGCCCCGUACACAAAAAUGCACAURYUGUGAGCUCGAUGAGUAGGGCGGGACACGUGGUAUCCUGUCUGAAUAUGGGGGGACCAUCCUCCAAGGCUAAAUACUCCUGACUGACCGAUAGUGAACCAGUACCGUGAGGGAAAGGCGAAAAGAACCCCGGCGAGGGGAGUGAAAAAGAACCUGAAACCGUGUACGUACAAGCAGUGGGAGCACGCUUAGGCGUGUGACUGCGUACCUUUUGUAUAAUGGGUCAGCGACUUAUAUUCUGUAGCAAGGUUAACCGAAUAGGGGAGCCGAAGGGAAACCGAGUCUUAACUGGGCGUUAAGUUGCAGGGUAUAGACCCGAAACCCGGUGAUCUAGCCAUGGGCAGGUUGAAGGUUGGGUAACACUAACUGGAGGACCGAACCGACUAAUGUUGAAAAAUUAGCGGAUGACUUGUGGCUGGGGGUGAAAGGCCAAUCAAACCGGGAGAUAGCUGGUUCUCCCCGAAAGCUAUUUAGGUAGCGCCUCGUGAAUUCAUCUCCGGGGGUAGAGCACUGUUUCGGCAAGGGGGUCAUCCCGACUUACCAACCCGAUGCAAACUGCGAAUACCGGAGAAUGUUAUCACGGGAGACACACGGCGGGUGCUAACGUCCGUCGUGAAGAGGGAAACAACCCAGACCGCCAGCUAAGGUCCCAAAGUCAUGGUUAAGUGGGAAACGAUGUGGGAAGGCCCAGACAGCCAGGAUGUUGGCUUAGAAGCAGCCAUCAUUUAAAGAAAGCGUAAUAGCUCACUGGUCGAGUCGGCCUGCGCGGAAGAUGUAACGGGGCUAAACCAUGCACCGAAGCUGCGGCAGCGACGCUUAUGCGUUGUUGGGUAGGGGAGCGUUCUGUAAGCCUGUGAAGGUGUGCUGUGAGGCAUGCUGGAGGUAUCAGAAGUGCGAAUGCUGACAUAAGUAACGAUAAAGCGGGUGAAAAGCCCGCUCGCCGGAAGACCAAGGGUUCCUGUCCAACGUUAAUCGGGGCAGGGUGAGUCGACCCCUAAGGCGAGGCCGAAAGGCGUAGUCGAUGGGAAACAGGUUAAUAUUCCUGUACUUGGUGUUACUGCGAAGGGGGGACGGAGAAGGCUAUGUUGGCCGGGCGACGGUUGUCCCGGUUUAAGCGUGUAGGCUGGUUUUCCAGGCAAAUCCGGAAAAUCAAGGCUGAGGCGUGAUGACGAGGCACUACGGUGCUGAAGCAACAAAUGCCCUGCUUCCAGGAAAAGCCUCUAAGCAUCAGGUAACAUCAAAUCGUACCCCAAACCGACACAGGUGGUCAGGUAGAGAAUACCAAGGCGCUUGAGAGAACUCGGGUGAAGGAACUAGGCAAAAUGGUGCCGUAACUUCGGGAGAAGGCACGCUGAUAUGUAGGUGAAGUCCCUCGCGGAUGGAGCUGAAAUCAGUCGAAGAUACCAGCUGGCUGCAACUGUUUAUUAAAAACACAGCACUGUGCAAACACGAAAGUGGACGUAUACGGUGUGACGCCUGCCCGGUGCCGGAAGGUUAAUUGAUGGGGUCAGCGCAAGCGAAGCUCUUGAUCGAAGCCCCGGUAAACGGCGGCCGUAACUAUAACGGUCCUAAGGUAGCGAAAUUCCUUGUCGGGUAAGUUCCGACCUGCACGAAUGGCGUAAUGAUGGCCAGGCUGUCUCCACCCGAGACUCAGUGAAAUUGAACUCGCUGUGAAGAUGCAGUGUACCCGCGGCAAGACGGAAAGACCCCGUGAACCUUUACUAUAGCUUGACACUGAACAUUGAGCCUUGAUGUGUAGGAUAGGUGGGAGGCUUWGAAGUGUGGACGCCAGUCUGCAUGGAGCCGACCUUGAAAUACCACCCUUUAAUGUUUGAUGUUCUAACGUUGACCCGURAUCCGGGUUGCGGACAGUGUCUGGUGGGUAGUUUGACUGGGGCGGUCUCCUCCUAAAGAGUAACGGAGGAGCACGAAGGUUGGCUAAUCCUGGUCGGACAUCAGGAGGUUAGUGCAAUGGCAUAAGCCAGCUUGACUGCGAGCGUGACGGCGCGAGCAGGUGCGAAAGCAGGUCAUAGUGAUCCGGUGGUUCUGAAUGGAAGGGCCAUCGCUCAACGGAUAAAAGGUACUCCGGGGAUAACAGGCUGAUACCGCCCAAGAGUUCAUAUCGACGGCGGUGUUUGGCACCUCGAUGUCGGCUCAUCACAUCCUGGGGCUGAAGUAGGUCCCAAGGGUAUGGCUGUUCGCCAUUUAAAGUGGUACGCGAGCUGGGUUUAGAACGUCGUGAGACAGUUCGGUCCCUAUCUGCCGUGGGCGCUGGAGAACUGAGGGGGGCUGCUCCUAGUACGAGAGGACCGGAGUGGACGCAUCACUGGUGUUCGGGUUGUCAUGCCAAUGGCACUGCCCGGUAGCUAAAUGCGGAAGAGAUAAGUGCUGAAAGCAUCUAAGCACGAAACUUGCCCCGAGAUGAGUUCUCCCUGACUCCUUGA
rnacentral:rRNA from 1 species